GAAUUGAAUGAGGUCAAAGUAUUGCAUGGGUUAGGUGUGGUGAAGUUCUCGGAGACCGAGGCUUGUACCGAGGCUCCGGAUAAAGAUGAGUGUGACAGUAGGAGUGAAGUUUUGGGAAAAAGUGGACCCUUACCAUUUGGCUGAUCCAGUUGUGGUUUCAGGGUGGGUGAAAACAGAGUUGGAUGCUGUAGAAUCGUUGAAGUAAUGUUGAGAUAUAUAAGUUAUCCUGUACAAGCUUUUGUGCUGAAUACAUUACGUUGUUAGAGGUGUAAAGCUUAUGGACAGUAGUGCAUAAGCUGUCAUAUUCUAAGGCAGUGAAGAAAGUAGAGGAAGAUGUGUCAAGGGGCAGGGAUCCUGAGAGGACUGCUGAAACUAGUAGAUCUGUACCAGAACAGAGGGAGGGAUCCUGAGAGGACUGCUGUGACUAAUAUAUCUGUACCAGAACAGAGGGAGGGAUCCUGAGAGGAGGGGUGUAGUAAAUCUGUACCAGAACAGAGGGAGGGAUCCUGAGAGGAGUGGUGUAGUAGAUCUGUACCAGAACAGAGGGAUGGAUCCUGAGAGGACUGGUGUAGUAGAUCUGUACCAGAACAGAGGGAGGGAUCCUGAGAGGAGUGGUGUAGUAGAUCUGUACCAGAACAGAGGGAGGGAUCCUGAGAGGACUGGUGUGACUAGUAGAUCUGUACCAGAACAGAGGGAGGGAUCCUGAGGACUGGUGUAGUAGAUCUGUACCAGAACAGAGGGAAGGAUCCUGAGAGGACUGCUGUGACUAGUAGAUCUGUACCAGAACAGAGGGAGGGAUCCUGAGAGGACUGGUGUAGUAGAUCUGUACCAGAACAGAGGGAGGGAUCCUGAGAGGAGGGGUGUAGUACAUCUGUACCAGAACAGAGGGAGGGAUCCUGAGAGGACUGGUGUGACUAAUCUGUUCCAGAACAGAGGGAGGGAUCCUGAGAGGAGGGGUGUAGUAGAUCUGUACCAAAACAGAGGGAGGGAUCCUGAGAGGACUGGUGUUGUAGAUCUGUACCAGAACAGAGGGAGGGAUCCUGAGAGGACUGCUGUGACUAGUAGAUCUGUACCAGAACAGAGGGAGGGAUCCUGAGAGGACUGCUGUGACUAGUAGAUCUGUACCAGAACAGAGGGAGGGAUCCUGAGUGGACUGCUGUGACUAGUAGAUCUGUACCAGAACAGAGGGAGGGAUCCUGAGAGGACUGGUGUAGUAGAUCUGUACCAGACAGAGGGAGGGAUCCUGAGAGGACUGGUGUAGUAGAUCUGUACCAGACAGAGGGAGGGAUCCUGAGAGGAGGGGUAUAGUAGAUCUGUACCAGAACAGAGGGAGGGAUCCUGAGAGGACUGGUGUAGUAGAUCUGUACCAGACAGAGGGAGGGAUCCUGAGAGGAGGGGUAUAGUAGAUCUGUACCAGAACAGAGGGAGGGAUCCUGAGAGGAGUGGUGUGAUUAGUAGAUCUGUACUAGAACAGUGUGAGGGGGUCCAACAAGUGAUAUAUGUUUCAGUAAGAUUGGAUUUUUAGCAUUUAUAGCAAUGGUUAUCAACUGUACUACAGGGAUGAAACGGAAGUCACAGAAAAUUGAGGUGGUGGUGGCAGCUGCAUAGAGGUAUUUGGGUGUGAGAGACUUGACAUCAGAAGAGUUCCAGGGUGUGUUGAGUGGUGGUGUCCCAUCCAUUCAGGUUGUUUGCCUGAAGUUGAACUAAAUAGAUUUGGGAAUGCCAAAGAGGGAUCAGAAUGAGCCAGUACGGGAGCCGAGGUAAACAAAGCCUUCAGGUGACCAAAAGCCCUGCCCGCCUCAGCUUGUCCACUGCAGUCGCACCGGUCCCCCCUUCAGCAGUGAGGUAAUGGGAGCCGCUACCUGACCAAAACCCCCGGAUAAACCUCUGGUAGUAAUUGGCAAACCCGAGGAACCGCUGCACUUCCUUUACCGUGGUGGGAGUCGGCCAAUUACGCACGGCUGCAAUGCGGUCACUCUCCAUCUCCACCCCUGACGUGGAAAGGCGGUACCCUAG
ensembl:lncRNA